AUACUUACCUGGCAGGGAAUCAUUGGUGAUCAGGAGGGCUGAGGUUCCAGGAUGAGGCCAUCCCAUUGCACUUUGGGUGUGCUGACACCUGCGAUGUCCCCAAAUGCGGGCUACUUGACUGCAUGAUUUGUGGUAGUGGGGGACUGUGUUUGUGCUCUCUCCUG